rnacentral:lncRNA from 1 species
AUUGAAUAAUAACUCCUCAUCUCCCCCCUCCCUGAGCCCAGGGUAACCACUGUUCUAUUUUCUGUCUUUAUUAUUUGACUAUUCCAGUUACCUCAUACAACAUCUAUUCUUGAAUGUCUGGUUUAUUUCACUCGGCAUAAUGUCUUCAAGGAUCAUCCCUGCUCUAGCAUGUAUCAACAUUUCAUUCCUGUCAUUCCUGUCUAAGGCUGAAUAAUAUUCUAGCAUUUGUAUAUACCACAUUUUGCUUUUCCAUUCAUUCAUUCAGCACCAUACAUCUGAGGGGCGUUCACCACAAAAAUGGCUCUCACAAAGACUGCUGCAAUCAGCUUAGGAUCAUCUACUCAGAGGACAUCACCACGCAAAUGAGAACCUCAUCACAAACAGCAACCCAAAGGUCACCUGCGAGCUUUUAGAAGUGCCAAAUCUCGGGCAUCCUAAUACUGAGUCUUCACCUGCAUUGUAAUGAGAUUUCCAGGUGACUCCUAUGUCCCUUGAAGUUUGAGAAGAACUGACCUAAGGGAUCUUAAUUUUUUAAGACAACGAGAGGAAGCAAAACCCUUAAUUCUACAGUCCAAUAGGUAUAAAUAAAUAAAUAAAUAAAGUGUACAAGUAAUACAAAUGUUCUGUUACCCCACUAUGUCCAGUGGAAAAUAACAUUUUUAUAUGUAAUUUGGUUCUACACGAAAUGAAUCUUACAAACAUGUGCAUCCCCUCUACCUUUUUUUCUCCCCACAAAUCUCUCUAACUUAUUCAGGGACUAGAUGAUAUCUCUUAUAUUCCAAUAUCCACAAGAGCGUGUCUUUGUUUGAUGUUUCACUUCCUGUAACACACGCAAAAGGUGGCCUUCCCUUUACUCCUAGAGCAGGAGGGCUUUGGAUAGAAUCCUUGACAUGGUGACACGGAAUAUUUUCUCCCACUAGAUGGCAGUAACAGCAAUUUAAUAAUGCAUUUUAUGAAGCAAUUGCCAGCUUGCCACAUACAGACAAUGACUCUUUGUGAGGCUUUCAUGAAUUGCUGGUUUUAAUAUAGGGAGCAAGGACUUAGUGACAAAUUAGAGAACACUUUUCUCUAUUGAUGUCUAUGUUUAAAUUUCAUUUUGCUUGCUUUCCAAAAUUAAAAGCAGUCUUGUUUGCCCAUCUCUUACCCUCAGCUAUAAGAAUCAGCUAUUAAGAAUAAUUUUCACUUGUAAGAGUUUGAAAAAAACACAAGUGGUUGCUAAAAAUAAGAUACUUUGUUAACGUAACUGUCAAUAAAUUAUUUCAUUAUUCCAGUUUGUGAAGAGAUUUUUUCAAUGUCUUCUCUAUCAAAGACCGUGCAUGUAUGAUUUCUAAGGGCAGAAAUUUAAGAUUUUCAUGAGAAAUCACAUAAAAUGAUAUUUUAUUAACUUUCUCUAAUAUAUUUUUAGAGAUCACCACAUAUAAAUACUAUAUACUUUAGAAGUUAAGCAUUAGCAGCGAGGAGAAACUAGGUUUAUAGUAAACAAAUAUCCGGAUU